UACGUAGGGUGCAAGCGUUGUCCGGAAUUAUUGGGCGUAAAGAGCUCGUAGGCGGUCUGUUACGUCGGAUGUGAAAACCCGAGGCUCAACCUCGGGCCUGCAUUCGAUACGGGCAGACUCGAGUGUGGUAGGGGAGACUGGAACUCCUGGUGUAGCGGUGAAAUGCGCAGAUAUCAGGAAGAACACCGGUGGCGAAGGCGGGUCUCUGGGCCACUACUGACGCUGAGGAGCGAAAGCGUGGGGAGCAAACAGG
rnacentral:rRNA from 1 species